GAUUAAGAACGUAGCGAAAUGCGAUAAGUAAUGUGAAUUGCAGAAUUCAGUGAAUCAUCGAAUCUUUGAACGCACCUUGCGCCCUUUGGCUAUUCUGAAGGGCAUGCCUGUUUGAGUAUCAUGAACACCUCAACUCUCAUGGUUUGCCAUGAUGAGCUUGGACUUUGGGGGUCUUGCUGGCCUACGGUCGGCUCCUCUCAAAUGAAUCAGCUUGCCAGUGUUUGGUGGCAUCACGGGUGUGAUAACUAUCUACGCUUGUGGUUUCCCACCAGGUAACCUUCAGUGAUGGAGGUUCGCUGGGGCUCAUAAAUGUCCCUCCACAGUGAGGACAGCUUUUGAACGUUUGAUCUCAAAUCAGGUAGGACUACCCGCUGAACUUAAGCAUAUCAAUAAGCGGAGGA
rnacentral:misc_RNA from 1 species